AUUGAACGCUGGCGGCAGGCCUAACACAUGCAAGUCGAGCGGAUGAAGGGAGCUUGCUCCUGGAUUCAGCGGCGGACGGGUGAGUAAUGCCUAGGAAUCUGCCUGGUAGUGGGGGAUAACGUCCGGAAACGGGCGCUAAUACCGCAUACGUCCUGAGGGAGAAAGUGGGGGAUCUUCGGACCUCACGCUAUCAGAUGAGCCUAGGUCGGAUUAGCUAGUUGGUGGGGUAAAGGCCUACCAAGGCGACGAUCCGUAACUGGUCUGAGAGGAUGAUCAGUCACACUGGGAGUGCGACACGGCACGGAGUCCUAAGGGAGGAAGUAAGGGGGAAUAUUGGAGAAUGGGAGAAAGCAUGAUAAAGCAAUGCCGCGUGAGUGAUGAAGGCAUUAGGGUAGUAAAGCUAUUUUAACCGGGAUGAUAAUGACAGUACCGGGAGAAUAAGCGACGGCUCACUCCGUG
rnacentral:rRNA from 1 species